GGAGGCCAUGAAAAACACUACAGAAAGGUUUUCUUUGAAAAAAAAAUCAUCAUGAAUUUUGGCGCAAAAAAACCGCCAUGUCGAAAAAUGUCAUUUUUCAACAUAUUGUGAAAACAUGCCAUAUGAUGAAAUAAUGUAAAUCAGGCUGUGAGAAACACUCCAGAAAGGUUUUCUUUGAAAAAAAAAUCAUCAUGAAUUUUGGCGCAAAAAAAACGCCAUGUCGAAAAAUGUCAUUUUUCAACAUGUUGUGAAAACAUGCCAUAUGAUGAAAUAAUGUAAAGCAGGCUGUGAGAAACACUCCAGAAACGGUUUUCUUUGAAAAAAAAAAUCAUCAUGAAUUUUGGCGAAAAAAAAGGAAUUCUUCAAGGCGAAGAUCGAUCAGCUCUACAGCAGCAUCUACAGCAGCAUCUCCAUGUGAAAGCUGACGAACCUCAUUUUCCUCCAAGCUUCCCGACUCUACGAACUGCUUCGACCAGCGACCUGCAGUGGGACAAAGACGUGUCACCUGAGGCUUAACAUGCUUUUGAGAAGCGAACCAAAACUGGCCCAACUGUAGAGGAUUUGAAAUGCCUAGAUAAAAACAAAUUAAACAAGAAAAUUAAAUACAAUGCACAUUGUCAUAUGUAUUUCCUUUUGGGUCGUGCAUUUAAUCCAUUGAAAGCGUACGUUAAAAAGAUAGUUUUACCUUAGCUGACAUUUAAGCAAGACUCUACAUUAUUAUUUGACACAAAUCUAUCUCAAUCAAAAUUUUCAUCAUUUUUACUCCAAACAUUUACUGGACUGAUUUAAAUAUUAAAAUCACUCCUUUCUAAUCCUCUGCUGUACGUUCAAAUCUGAGGCCUUAAAUAGAGAAACACACAAGUAUCUGUUUGAAGGAACUUCUGCAGAGUCCUGGUUCCAGAACAUGAUGAUAGAAUUAUAGACAAACUUUAACAAAAGCUGCCUGAGAGUUUACAGGUUUUUAUGUUAGAUUUCUUCAGUAAUUUAAUGAGAGUUAUCAGCAAUAAUCAAGUGUUCAUUUGAUGAACUUUAUUUCCUCAAACAUCCAGAACUGGAGCUCAUAUCUUUGGCAGGUGUAAAGUUUCUGCUCCUUCAAAGUUCACAACACAAUAAAUGAAUUCCUAAAACACUCUCAAUGCUGGAGAGCGUUUGUGAUGCUGAAGCAGUGACCAGUUUUUCUGUUUCUUCUCUGGAGAUGCACAAUGAGGGACGUCUGCAGAGACUGAGAAAGUCUCACCACAUCCUGACAUGAGGGAAAAGACUUUAUUGAAGACUACAAUGAGAAAAACUAUCAGACAGCAGACGGCUGCAUUCAAGUCUGUAGCUGCUGAAUUCAUGGAUGAAUCAUCUGGCACUAGAGAGGAAGACCAUCAAACAUCCACGUCAGCUGAUGGAGGUCCAAGAGUCUCACCCAACAAACAACCUACAGAGUGAAGACCUCGAACCUGAUUGGACGGCCUCCUAUUCAGCCACAUGUGAACAAAUGCCUCUAUGUUGGUUUGUUUUCUAAAAUAACAUGACAUGUUCAGGCGUUCUUUGUGUGAAAACUCAGAGAUUUCAGGUAUCAGAAGGUGGUUUUUAACUUUCUUUGUUAACUUUCUGCCUCAACUUUAAACUAAAUUUCCUUCACUAACCCAGCCCUCUGGACUUCCAGUAAGCUGUGUUCCCAUUGGCUGUCCAGGCGGCUGCUUGGUGUUAUCAGGAACACCUGAGCAGCGCAGUGUCUUCCUGUUUUAUUUAGCUGCAGACAAACAUUUCCUCUGCUUCACCACUGAACCGGGUUUGGCUCCAUUGCUUUAGUUUGUGCUUUAGGCGUUGGCUUGCAGCUUCCAGCAGUAAAAUCGUCUUUAAUGUGUUUCUUGGUGUGUUUUACGGCUUUGUACUGGAUAGUUGUCUUGGUAAAUGUGGUUCUUUAGCCACAGUUAGCACAUGGUGCUAAUGUGUGCAGUGAUUAGUGGAUUUGGUGCAGCUGAGUUGUGUCUUUAUUUUGGCUGUAGUGAGUCUUUAGAGGUUUUUGGUCAGACACAUUCUGUAUUCUUGUUUGAGAACCAACGUUGGUUGUCCAGAAGGUAAGAGUUCCUGUCCUGAUUCUCUGUUUAAAGAGGUUCUCUGGUUGCAGGAGACUUUAGCAUUUGGGUUGUGCUAGUUUGGUUUUUGUACCGUUUCAUUUGGACGACUAUCUUGAGGCCCCUCCAUGUGGUUUAGUGAGGUUUUCUGGAACAGUUCUACAAAGCAACCUGCAGCAGAAGAGACUUUGAGAGUUUUUAGGAAGUUCGGGAGAGCAGACUUUAGAGCAGCAGAAACAUUUGUCAGCAGUUUGAGCAGGAGAAGGUGAGCUUCAGAGUAGAAAUGAGACAGAAACCUUCUUGACCUGUGUGGUGAGGUCCUGUACCAAGAGUUUGAGCAGGUUGUGAAGAGUCUGUAGUUCUUUGGUCUGAAAGCACAAGAAGAGUCGACUCCUUAAAGGAGAAAACAGGAGAUAUUGUUGGUUCUUCUGUGGCUCUACAGUUUCCAGUUUCCUUAGACUGAAUAUCAAGUUUAUAUUUUAAAUGAUUUAACAUGUGAGCCCAAGAAGACGUCAAUAAACUCCCUCAAUCCCCUGGACACAACAUAUUUUAUUACCAUGUUAAAUCUUUUUUUUUAAAAAAUAUGUUUCUGAGUUUUAAUCAUAGUUUUAGCAUAGUUUUUUUUCUUUGCUUGUUUAGUUUUGUCAUGUGUGUGAAAGGUGCUAAACAAAUAAAGUUGAAUUGAUAAACUGAAUAA